rnacentral:rRNA from 1 species
CCUACGGGUGGCAGCAGUGGGGAAUAUUGGGCCAUGGAGGAAACUCUGACCCAGCAACGCCGCGUGAAUGAUGAAGGUCUUCGGAUUGUAAAGUUCUUUUCUACGGGAAGAAGAAAGUGACGGGACUUUAGGCAUAAGCCUCGGCUAACUACGUGCCAGCAGCCACGGUAAUAAGUGGGCGGCGAGCGUUAUCCGGAAGGACUGGUUGUAAGGGGUGCGUAGGUGGGUUGGCAAGUUAGGAGGGUAACUCCAGGGGCCAAACAUGUAACUACUGCUAAAACUGUGGGACUUGAGUGCGGGAGAGGCAAGCGGAAUGCGUGGUGUAGCGGUGGAAUGCGUAGAUAUUAGGAAGAACUCC